CGUAGAUUCAAAAUACAUUUACAGGCCAUCACAUGCGGGAAGGAGGUGGAUCCCGACAAGUAUCACGCGUAUGCGAGAAUAACCGCCGAAGAAGUUUGUUUCGCUAUACAAGUGGUGUAACAUGUCGCCAACCAUCCAUAAACUUCUGGUGCACGGUUCUCUUAUCAUUAAGAAAGCCCUUUUGCUCAUUGGCAAACUCUCAAGGAGGCGAGUGAAGCCCGGAAUAAAGAAUCAAGGUAUAAGUUCGCCAAAACAAAAAAGAAGAAAGAGCUGGACUCGGAGACAAGUGAAUUACUUGUAAUUUAUCCGCACGCAAUGGACGACAGCGGUUUAGGAGCAGAAUCAGAUGGAGCAGAGGAAAGCGAAGAGGAGGAAGAAGAAGAAGAUGAGGAAUCAGAGGGAGAAGAAGAAUUGGAUGUGGAUGAAGCAGUCGACAGUUUUGUUUUGAAGGGAUUUCUUGAUGGUCCUUCGUCAUCUGGCAGAGGGCGGAAAUAUUAGAUGGUUCAGAAACACAAGUUUCAUCCUUAACGAUUGAGGCAAGUAGCAUGUACCGACUGCCUGUAUCCUGUAUCGGAUCUGGGGUUCAGAACAGCAUGUACUAAAAUGCCAGGACUGCAAAUUGAUGAUCCACAAGAAAUGUCAAUCAUUCCUGAGGAGUCCAUGCUCUCAUGCGGCCGUUGAUCCCUUUUUCAUACCUGAGGGUGCCAAGAGGACUGAAUCAGCGAGGGCAACCAAGCAAGUGAUAAAUUAUAAAAGGCCGAUCAUACAUGAGCGCAUUAAUUUCUUUGUGUGUUUUAUUUAGAAAUCUCAUAGUCUUCUUGUUUUGUUUUAUUUGUGUCAUUAUUUUUGUACCAAUGUCUAGUCAAUUUGUUUUAAAUGUUUUAAUUGUUUGUGAAACAUGUUAAUCUCUUAAAUUUUGUGGGACUGCUCCAAUAUUUUACAGUUUUAUUACUGUGUAAUAAUAUUUAUUUGACAUAAUGCUCAUUAGUUCUCCUUAAUAAACUCGUUGAUACUCACUAACAGUGUAUUUUAGUAUUCUACCUUAUUCCACAUCUCAAAAGAUAAGAUUGUUGACAUAUUUUUUCAGUAUCUGCAAACUCCUCUCAGGUUCACCAACAUUAAACGAUGAAAAACUCAAGUUCACAGCUUGAAUUUGAAAUUCAUGUGCAUUUGAUUUUAUGAUUCAAUAUUUCAAUGGAAAACUAAAGUAUUGUAAUGAACCAUUUCUCUUGGUAAAAGCAAAAUAUUAUAUUUAUAAGGGUUACAUAGACUGAAAUAGGAUAAAAUUAAGCAUCUGAAUGCAACUUUAUUGGAUCUUUUUGAUAAUACCCUGUCUGUGGAAGGAGUUUGCUCAGAUAUUGUUGAAAGGGUGAGAUUUGGGUUUAUUGUAAUUCAAGCUUUCAAGCUUUAUGAAAAAUGGAAUAUAAGUGCAAAAUUGCUAGGAC
rnacentral:lncRNA from 1 species